rnacentral:lncRNA from 1 species
CUCAUCCCAUUUUUAUUUCUUAUUUUGAGGCAGGAUCUCACUAAGUUGCUGAGGCUGGCCUCUGACUUGCCAUCUUCCUGCCUCCAGAGUCACUGAGAUUACAGGUGUAUGCCACGACACCUAGCUAUAAAAGCUACUUUUUAAUAAUUAAAAGUAUCACUCAAAUGCAAAGUGAUCUUGAUAGUUUAUCAUAGAUCAAUGUAUAUAGCAUUCUGAACACUAACAGCCCCCAUAUCUUUUCUGGUGGAUCCCUGACAAUAGGCAAAAUGCAUUUGGUAUGAUUCCAAGUAAGAGUUAAAUUUCUGAGGCUUUUCAAAGUUCAUAUAACUUGGCCACACUUAGUGUUUUGUGUCAGCUUCAGGAGAGCAAGUUCUUUGCCACCUUCCUUAAUACAUCCCUGUGCCUAGAAUGGCCUGUCAUGUGUCAGACCUUUAUAUUUUUGUUGAUCACCAUUUUUCUCAAGCUGUUUUAAAUAUCAAAAAUAGAGAAUUGUCUCAAGUCAAGAGUUUUUAGUUUCAUGCACCCAAAACCAACUGUGACUUUUUCAGCAGAAAUGAAUUUAUCUAAAGAGCAUUGGGUAGGGUAGCUCACAGAAUUGCUGUAAUAGCUAGAGAAUGAGGUUUAGAAAGAGAGGAGAAGCCAGAUCCACACUCUAAAUCAUGCCAGUAAGAUCUCACUCUUGCUACCCUGGAAAGUGGCAGUUUCCACUUUCAUCAGAACAGUGUCUUCAUUGCUGUUCAAAGUCCUGGGGGACUGAUGGCACCUGUGUCACAUUCUUCCAGAAAAGCCACAAACAAGAAUCUGCCUUAGUUUUCUGAAAGUAAGUUCUACUGCUUCCCUCUUAAGUGUAUGUGGGGCAGUUCCCCAAAUAGGAAAAGUGAGC